GCGAUGGCCCUAGGCCUGAUGUCAGUUUCUACACCAUGCGAACAGCAAACAACACUAGCCGUGUCUCAAAGCUCACGACUCUCAAGGCCAAGCAAGCUAAUGCAUUGUUUUGGUCUCCUGCUGGCCGCUUCAUUGUUCUUGCUGGGCUGAAGGGAUUUAAUGGGCAGCUAGAAUUCUACAAUGUUGAUGAGCUUGAAACUAUGGCAACAGGAGAGCAUUUUAUGGCAACAGACAUAAUGUGGGAUCCUACUGGAAGGUUAGCUAAUAACUGGGUUUAGAAAUUUGCUGAUUCUUCCUUUGGCACUGGUAUUUCUAUUAUCAUGUGAAAGUUGAAACAGUAGUCAGUUUUUUACACCAGCAGAUUGCCUGCAUGUUAAAAGAAGUUAUUAGAAUUUUGUCAAUUCUAAAUCCCAUGCCUUUUGUAUGCAUGAAGUUCUAUUUCUAAACUUUGGCCAAACAUUCAGUGGCCAAAGAUUUAAGAAUGAACUGAAAUGGUUUUGCAAUUCCUUUCGUUCAGGUAUCUUGCAACUGCAGUUACCUCAGUCCAUGAGAUGGAGAAUGGAUUUCAAAUAUGGUCCUUCAAUGGCAAGCACCUUUACAAGGUGUCAAAGGAUCACUUCUAUCAGGUAAAUGUUCAGUAACUUUCUGCUUGGAAACAUUUUCCAUGAUGUAUGAUUGUCCUUUGUUGUAAUGUUUGUCUUGUACACGGACUGACGGACUGAAUGAUGCAGUUUAUAUGGCGUCCGAGACCGCCAUCACUUUUGACUCCUGAGAAGGAAGAGGAGAUCUCGAAGAACCUGAAGAAGUACAGCAAGAAGUACGAGCAAGAAGACCAGGAUGCAUUCAACCAGCU
rnacentral:lncRNA from 1 species